CCUACGGGAGGCAGCAGUGAGGAAUAUUGGUCAAUGAGCGAGAGCCUGAACCAGCCAAGUCGCGUGAGGGAGGACGGCCCUACGGGUUGUAAAACUCGUUUGCCGGGAGACAAACGGCGGCACGCGUGCCGUCCUGAGGGUACCCGGAGAAAAAGCAUCGGCUAACGCCGUGCCAGCAGCCGAGGGAAUACGGAGGAUGGGAGAGUUAUCCGGAUUUAUUGGGUUUAAAGGGUGCGUAGGCGGGAUGCCAAGUCAGCGGUCAAAUACGGGGGCUCAACCUGCGUCCGGCGUUGAAAAUGGCGUUCUUGAGUGGGCGAGAAGUACGCGGAAUGCGUGGUGUAGCGGUGAAAUGCAUAGAUAUCACGCAGAACCCCGAUUGCGAAGGCAGCGUACCGGCGCCCGACUGACGCUGAAGCACGAAAGCGUGGGUAUCGAACAGGAUUAGAUACCCUUGUAGUC
rnacentral:rRNA from 1 species